rnacentral:rRNA from 1 species
UCGAGAAUCUUCCACAAUGGACGAAAGUCUGAUGGAGCGACGCCGCGUGAUUGAUGAAGUCCUUCGGGACGUAAAGAUCUUUUAUGAGGGAAGAAGUUUAUUGACGGUACCUCAUGAAUAAGGGGCUCCUAAUCUCGUGCCAGCAGGAGCGGUAAUACGAGAGCCCCGAGCGUUAUCCGGAAUUAUUGGGCGUAAAGGGUGCGUAGGCGGUUGUGUUAGUCAGGUGUUAAAGCCCCGAGCUUAACUUGGGACAUGCAUUUGAAACGGCACGACUUAGAAUGAAGAAGAGGUGUGCGGAACUCAUGGUGUAGGGGUGAAAUCCGUUGAUAUCAUGGGGAACACCAAAUGCGAAAGCAGCACACUGGUCUUUUAUUGACGCUGAGGCACGAAAGCGUGGGUAGCGAAUGGGAUUAGAUACCCCCGUAGUCC